rnacentral:rRNA from 1 species
UACGUAGGGACCAAGCGUUGUCCGGAUUUAUUGGGCGUAAAGAGCUCGUAGGCGGCCCUCCACGUCGGAUGUGAAAGCUCAGGGCUCAACCCUGAGAUGCCAUUCGAUACGGGAAGGCUAGAGGUAGGUAGGGGAAAGUGGAAUUCCUGGUGUAGCGGUGAAAUGCGCAGAUAUCAGGAAGAACACCCGUGGCGAAGGCGGUUCUCUGGGACGGUACUGACGCUGAGACGCGAAAGCGUGGGGAGCGAACAGG